AGAUUGAACGCUGGCGGCAGGCCUAACACAUGCAAGUCGAGCGGCAGCACGGGUACUUGUACCUGGUGGCGAGCGGCGGACGGGUGAGUAAUGCCUGGGAAUCUGCCUGGUAGUGGGGGAUAACGCUCGGAAACGGACGCUAAUACCGCAUACGUCCUACGGGAGAAAGCAGGGGACCUUCGGGCCUUGCGCUAUCAGAUGAGCCUAGGUCGGAUUAGCUAGUUGGUGAGGUAAUGGCUCACCAAGGCGACGAUCCGUAACUGGUCUGAGAGGAUGAUCAGUCACACUGGAACUGAGACACGGUCCAGACUCCUACGGGAGGCAGCAGUGGGGAAUAUUGGACAAUGGGCGAAAGCCUGAUCCAGCCAUGCCGCGUGUGUGAAGAAGGUCUUCGGAUUGUAAAGCACUUUAAGUUGGAGAAGGCAGUUACCUAAUACGUAUCUGUUUGACGUUACCGACAGAAUAAGCACCGGCUAACUCUGU
rnacentral:rRNA from 1 species